rnacentral:rRNA from 1 species
GAUGAACGCUGGCGGCGUGCCUAAUACAUGCAAGUCGAGCGAACGGACGAGAAGCUUGCUUCUCUGAUGUUAGCGGCGGACGGGUGAGUAACACGUGGAUAACCUACCUAUAAGACUGGGAUAACUUCGGGAAACCGGAGCUAAUACCGGAUAAUAUUUUGAACCGCAUGGUUCAAAAGUGAAAGACGGUCUUGCUGUCACUUAUAGAUGAAUCCGCGCUGCAUUAGCUAGUUGGUAAGGUAACUGCUUACCAAGGCAACGAUGCAUAGCCGACCUGAGAGGGUGAUCGGCCACACGGGAACUGAGACACGGUCCAGACUCCUACGGGAGGCAGCAGUAGGGAAUCUUCCGCAAUGGGCGAAAGCCUGACGGAGCAACGCCGCGUGAGUGAUGAAGGUCUUCGGAUCGUAAAACUCUGUUAUUAGGGAAGAACAUAUGUGUAAGUAACUGUGCACAUCUUGACGGUACCUUAUCAGAAAGCCACGGCUAACUACGUG